rnacentral:lncRNA from 1 species
ACUUCAUCUAAAAAAAUACCAACAGUCUUUUCUUUAUUAAGCAACAGAAGGAUGAAUUCCUUCGUGAGAAUGUGGUGUGUUUUAAGCAGCUACACUUGAAGUCCAAAAUUUUAAUGAGUCCAUUGUAAUGGCCAUCUUAAAGUAAAGACUCUGAAAUAAUUGCUUGAUCUUUUUCUUCAAUAAGAAUUUUUUGCAUAUCUAUGAUAAAAUGCUAACUCGGAUUUAGAAGUAUGCUCAAGCAGAGGAGGAAAAGAGUAUAAUUCGAUAGGCAAAAAAGGAGAAGAAUGAAAAAAAGUAGCUCUAAGAAGAGGACCAUGAAGGUGGGCCAGAAAAUAGUUCUAGUCGACCUCAGAAGAAUUCAAGGUCAAGAAGCCCACCUCGACAUUUUGAUAUUUACAACCUUUUGUCUGCUCCUUGUGCCCAGAUACUAAUAGAAAUCGAGAGACAAAGAUAUCUUCGUUGGCCUAAUCCUAUGAAGGCUCCACUAGUAAAGAGAGAUAAAAUAAAGUACUAUCAGUUCCAUCG